GAUCAUGGCUCAGGAUGAACGCUAGCUACAGGCUUAACACAUGCAAGUCGAGGGGCAGCAUGGUCUUAGCUUGCUAAGACUGAUGGCGACCGGCGCACGGGUGAGUAACACGUAUCCAACCUGCCGUCUACGUCUUGGACAGCCUUCUGAAAGGAAGAUUAAUACAAGAUGGCAUCAUGAGUCCGCAUGUUCAUAUGAUUAAAGGUAUUCCGGUAGACGAUGGGGA
rnacentral:rRNA from 1 species